AAUCAACGCUGGCGGCGUGCCUCAGACAUGCAAGUCGAACGCGAAAGUCCCCUUCGGGGGAGUGAUUAGAGUGGCGCACGGGCGAGUAACACGUAGGUAAUCUACCUUCGAGUGGGGAAUAAACUCAGGGAAACUUGAGCUAAUACCGCAUAAUGCAGCGGCACCACAUGGUGACAGUUGUUAAAGCAUUUAUGCGCUUGAAGAGGAGCCUGCGGCGGAUAGCUAGUUGGUAAGGUAAUGGCUUACCAAGGCUACGAUCUGUAACCGGCCUGAGAGGGCGGACGGUCACACUGACACUGAAUAACGGGUCAGACUCCUACGGGAGGCAGCAGUCGGGAAUUUUGGGCAAUGGGC
rnacentral:rRNA from 1 species